AACUAAUGAUGUUUAAUUAAGAGUAGUGGACAGAAGUGAUUUCUGAAAACUGCAUUACUGAAGUU